GUACAAAUAUGCUAUCGUAAUGCUUCGUUAAUGUUUAUUAACAUGCUUUAUCAUUUAGCGUCAUUGUGUGAUGCUGUUGUAUUUUACGUGUGAAUGUAAUUGAAACAUUAUUAUAAAAUUAACAAACAUUACUUUAUACACGUAGUGCACUGUAGCAUUUAAUGUGUUAUUUAUCAACUUGCAUGAUGUACUAUUCGCAUAUAACACUUGUCUUUGCUAAUAAUUAUGUGUUAUUUCCGUGUUGAAAUUUCCUUUGUACAUGUUGUUUCAUGUUUUGUUCCUCCUGCAAAACAUCAUUAUGAUUAUGUUACUGUUUGUGAC
rnacentral:lncRNA from 1 species